AACGAACGCUGGCGGCAUGCCUAACACAUGCAAGUCGAACGAGACCUUCGGGUCUAGUGGCGCACGGGUGCGUAACGCGUGGGAACCUGCCCUUAGGUUCGGAAUAACUCCCCGAAAGGGGUGCUAAUACCGGAUAAUGUCUUCGGACCAAAGAUUUAUCGCCUUUGGAUGGGCCCGCGUUGGAUUAGCUAGUUGGUAGGGUAAAAGCCUACCAAGGCGACGAUCCAUAGCUGGUCUGAGAGGAAGAUCAGCCACACUGGGACUGAGACACGGCCCAGACUCCUACGGGAGGCAGCAGUGGGGAAUAUUGGACAAUGGGCGAAAGCCUGAUCCAGCAAUGCCGCGUGAGUGAUGAAGGCCUUAGGGUUGUAAAGCUCUUUUACCCGGGAUGAUAAUGACAGUACCGGGAGAAUAAGCUCCGGCCAACUCCGUG
rnacentral:rRNA from 1 species